rnacentral:lncRNA from 1 species
CUCAAAAGUGUGGCUCACAUCCAUGUCAUGGGCCUUGUCUGAAUUUGAAUUGCUGCAGUCCUCUUCCAUGGCAACAGGUGAGGAAUCCUUCCUGCGCUUGUUGCAAGUGGCAGUGAUUUCCAUACCAUCCCCAGAACUAUGAUUGGAUGGCUGUGUCGAGAGGUUAAGCCCAGAACCAUUCAGCAACUUCUUGUGGUGCCCAUGUGAGCUGCUCUUUGCAGGAGCAGUACUUGCUGCUCUCUCAAGCUCAAAGUCUGUGGUUGGCAAAUUCCUCCACGACUCAAAAUCACUCGCCUCGGUUGGGAUCGAGAAAUUGGCAUCCCUCCCAGUGAG